rnacentral:misc_RNA from 1 species
GGUCACUGUUGCCAUCCCCCACCUAACCCACAAACAAACAUAAACGAUUUAACGACAUGACGUUACAUUAUUAGUAUUAAAUUAUUAAAUUUGUGACUAUAGUUUGGCUGUAAUGCAGACUAAUGGUAAUGGAUCAUCAAUUCUGUUAAAAACAAGAUAAUCUCAUUGAAAAGGACAAAUAGAAUGGGGAAAACCUUACUAGAGAUCAAGGAAAUUAAAAUAAAACAAAAUAAAAUAGUGAUGCUUAUAUGGAAUUUCAAGGAAUUGGGUACGUGGGAGGUCGAAUUCUGGCAUAAAACCUGUUUUAUGUGCACAAUACAUCAGUACUCAAAAAUGGGUUCAGCUGCAAAAUCCAAAUAAACACAAGUAAAGCCGGCUUUUACUUUGAAAACAGGGCAAUUUCUUGAUUUUUAGCGGAACAAAUUCUUGAUGAAAGAGUUGCGCAUUGAAAAAGUGAAAGCUGUGGUGUAAA